UUGGUCAUGGGCGACGAUGAGUCCGUGGACACGUUCGCUUCACAGGUGGCUACUUUCGUCAAUCAGAUCCGUGCGCUUGGAGAAAACCUCACGGAGGCCUCAGUUGUCCGGCGGUUCUUGCGCGCAGCCCCUCCCCGGUACCUGCAAAUUGUCACGGCGAUCGAGCAGUGCGUCGAUCUCGCGACUCUCUCCAUCGACGAUCUUGUCGGACGGUACAAGGCUCACGAUGAGCGGAUGCGGUACAGUCUUGGGGACGGGAGAAACGACGAGAUUGUGAUGCUCACAAGGGCGCAGUGGGUCGCUUUGUCAAAAGAAAAGAAAGGCGGAUCCACGAGCAGCAGCAAGAAGAAGGGGAAGCAGCGUUCGGUGAGAAAGAACUUCGCCGACUCGGACGACGACUCAGACGAUGAGGCUGCACCACCAUCGAGGAGAAAGUUCGACAUCAGAAAAGUGAGAUGUUAUAACUGUGGCCUCCUCGGCCACUUCAAGGCUGACUGCGAGGAAGCACCGAAGCAGAAGGCGCUCAUGGUCCAGCAAGAAGAUAAUGGUGACAUGAUGUUGCUGUGUGAACUUGUGGACAAGGAGGAUCCAAUUCUUCAAGUGUCGGCUAAAGAAAUUGUCGCGCUCCGUGAAGAAAAAGUUCGCUCUCAAGAUCAUGGUUCAGAAACUCGUGUCGAUGCUACGGACGCGGGGGGUGAUUCUGAAACCUACAUCGAUGUUACGGGCAUAAGUGCUAAUUUCGCUGGAGUGGAUGCAGCAAUUGCUGCGUGUGCUCGGCCCUGGAGUAGUAGUUUUUGUGUGAUGCGUCCAAAGAAAACGAAGGCGUACAUGGCGUCAGAAGUCCAUGAAGAAACAGAAACUGUUGUUGAUGCUAGCGCAAAAGUGAAGACGAGUGCAGCAGCUACGAACGAACUGGAAGUUGCUGGUGUAUCGAAUGCAAGCGCA
rnacentral:rRNA from 1 species